CCCCACCACACCCCCCACCCCGGACCCUGGGUGGGUACUAAGCUCUGAACACAUUAGUCCUCCAGCACCUUCCUCUGAUAGCUUUUGGAACCAGGCUCUGCAGCUUGGCUGCUGAAUUGUCAGCAACUGUGGGAGGUGUUCGUCAUCGGUGCCCCGCCCACUCUACACACGAGGAUCUGAGGGUUCCAGACUCCCAAACACACGUGCUAACAUGACGAAGCUGCAGCCUGGGAAGCAGGCUUUCUUCCCAAGUCCACGGUGAACAAGAGGCAGACCUUCUCCGUCCUCGUCCACAUGCUACACAACUGCACACUGGAGGAGCCCAGUAAGCGCCAAAGGCAAGUCAGGUUGGUCUUUGCUUUCUUGGCUCUAGCAUGUUUUGAAUACACUCUUAUAUAAGGGGAUGGUUGACUACAAGGAGUGAGUUCAUGUGUGAUGGCCAGGCUGCUCUUCACAGCUCUUUAGCUGCCCCUGUCAACUUUGGAUGUGGUUAGGAAGGCCAAGUGCGGGAUCUACAGUCAAGCUGCAAGCUCACGAGCCCUCUUCCCUUCUUUCCCUUGAAUCUGUUUCUCACCGCUAUGGCCUACGUUCAAGCUCUCAGAUGGAGAAACGGCCCUUGAACAGUUGGCAGUACACCAAGAAGAAGGUGUGUGGUUUGGAUAUUGAGUUGUCCUAUCUACAUCAUGUAGCUAGCUCUCAUUGAGCAGUGCCAACCAAGCACCCGGGAUCGAGUUUGAUGUUUAGUCCCCAGAAGACACCAGGAAAGAAAGUUGGUUACAAG
rnacentral:lncRNA from 1 species